UACGUAGGUGGCAAGCGUUAUCCGGAAUUAUUGGGUGUAAAGCGCGCGUAGGCGGUUUUUUAAGUCUGAUGUGAAAGCCCACGGCUCAACCGUGGAGGGUCAUUGGAAACUGGAAAACUUGAGUGCAGAAGAGGAAAGUGGAAUUCCAUGUGUAGCGGUGAAAUGCGCAGAGAUAUGGAGGAACACCAGUGGCGAAGGCGACUUUCUGGUCUGUAACUGACGCUGAUGUGCGAAAGCGUGGGGAUCAAAC
rnacentral:rRNA from 1 species